rnacentral:rRNA from 1 species
CUAUGCCGCCUUGCCACGCCCGCUCAAGUAAACUUAAAGGAAUUGACGGACCCCGCACAAGCGGUGGAUCAUGUUUGUUUAAUUCGAUGAUACGCGAAGAACCUUACCAGGUCUUGACAUCCCCCCGCGAUGCUUUAGAGAUAAAGCGGAGGUAUUCGGGGAGACAGGUGGUGCAUGGUUGUCGUCAGCUCGUGUCGUGAGAUGUUGGGUUAAGUCCCGUAACGAGCGCAACCCUUGUCCUUAGUUACCAGCACGUUAUGGUGGGCACUCUAAGGAGACUGCCGGUGACAAACCGGAGGAAGGUGGGGAUGACGUCAAGUCAUCAUGGCCCUUACGGCCUGGGCUACACACGUGCUACAAUGGUCGGUACAAAGGGUUGCCAAGCCGCGAGGUGGAGCUAAUCCCAUAAAACCGAUCGUAGUCCGGAUCGCAGUCUGCAACUCGACUGCGUGAAGUCGGAAUCGCUAGUAAUCGUGAAUCAGAAUGUCACGGUGAAUACGUUCCCGGGCCUU